rnacentral:rRNA from 1 species
UGGGAAUUUGGACGAAUUGGGCGAAAGCCUGAUCCAGCAAUGCCGCGUGUGUGAAGAAGGCCUUCGGGUUGUAAAGCACUUUUGUCCGGAAAGAAAUCCUUGGCUCUAAUACAGUCGGGGGAUGACGGUACCGGAAGAAUAAGCACCGGCUAACUACGUGCCAGCAGCCGCGGUAAUACGUAGGGUGCAAGCGUUAAUCGGAAUUACUGGGCGUAAAGCGUGCGCAGGCGGUUUGCUAAGACCGAUGUGAAAUCCCCGGGCUCAACCUGGGAACUGCAUUGGUGACUGGCAGGCUAGAGUAUGGCAGAGGGGGGUGAGAAUUCCACGUGUAGCAGUGAAAUGCGUAGAGAUGUGGAGGAAUACCGAUGGCGAAGGCAGCCCCCUGGCAAGUACUGACGCUCAUGCACGAAAGCGU